UAAAACUUGGUACUUUUAAAAGUGGGCUGUCUCGAGAGUUGCUGAGCUCGCUGCUCCAGGAGUGCUGUUGGAGAGGGGAGAACAGGCAGUACCAGCAUGGCCUCUCAAGACCCAGAUGUAGAAGUUCUCACAGGUUUCCUUGAGAUUUGGACAACAAAAAAGGAGAGGGAAAGCGAGACAAAUUGGGAUAUUGCAAGACUGGUUACUGCCAGAGUUGAUCCAAGAAGUGCACAAGAGGAGACCUCCGGGCUGGCGUACCACCCCACCAACACACAGGAGGUGAGCCGCACGGGUGCCAGCAGCAACCCCCCCCCCAAUCGAAAUGAGAAGACACGUAAACAAGUCUCAAAACCAGCCUUGCAGAUCACCUACAGCAACUCCAAAGGGAAACGAGAUGGAACACUCUGAUACUCAACCACCUGGACUCCCUGAACUAGCAACAAAAGAGGAUCUGGAAAGAAUGAAAUCAGAAAUAACUUCUCAGAUAACAGCAGAGAUUGUGCUCAUAGUGCAAAACAUGAUUAAUAAAUCUAGAGAGGAGCUCAGGAACAUGAUGGAAUCCCAACAUAGGAAACAAAUGGAAUCCAUAAAACAGAUGCAAACAGAUUUCCA
ensembl:lncRNA